rnacentral:rRNA from 1 species
UGGCGGCGCGUCUUAAGCAAUGAAAGUCGAACGGGCAAGAGGUAGCAAUACCUCCUAGAGUGGCGGACUGGUGAGUAACACGUGGGUGACAUACCCUUCAGAUGGGGAUAGCUAUUAGAAAUAGUAGAUAAUACCGAAUACGAGCACAGGGGUUAGAGAUCUGUGAGGAAAGGAGCUAAGGCUCCGCUGAAGGAAUGGCCUGCGGCCCAUUAGCUAGUUGGUGAGGUAAGAGCCCACCAAGGCGAUGAUGGGUAUCCGGCCUUAGAGGGUGAACGGACACAUUGGGACUGAGAUACGGCCCAGACUCCUACGGGAGGCAGCAGCUAAGAAUAUUCCGCAAUGGACGAAAGUCUGACGGAGCGACGCCGCGUGGAUGAAGAAGGCCGGAAGGUUGUAAAAUCCUUUUGAAACUGAAGAAUAAGCGUUGUAGGGAAUGACAGCGUGGUGACAGUAGGUUUUGAAUAAGCAACGGCUAAUUACGUGCCAGCAGCAGC